rnacentral:rRNA from 1 species
ACGCACGCUGGCGGCGUGCCUAAUACAUGCAAGUAGAACGCACAGUUUAUACCGUAGCUUGCUACACCAUAGACUGUGAGUUGCGAACGGGUGAGUAACGCGUAGGUAACCUGCCUGGUAGCGGGGGAUAACUAUUGGAAACGAUAGCUAAUACCGCAUAAUAUUAAUUAUUGCAUGAUAAUUAAUUGAAAGGUGCAAUUGCACCACUACCAGAUGGACCUGCGUUGUAUUAGCUAGUAGGUGAGGUAACGGCUCACCUAGGCGACGAUACAUAGCCGACCUGAGGGGGUGAUCGGCCACACUGGGACUGAGACACGGCCCAGACUCCUACGGGAGGCAGCAGUAGGGAAUCUUCGGCAAUGGACGAAAGUCUGACCGAGCAACGCCGCGUGAGUGAAGAAGGUUUUCGGAUCGUAAAGCUCUGUUGUAAGAGAAGAACGGGUGUGAGAGUGGAAAGUUCACACUGUGACGGUAUCUUACCAGAAAGGGACGGCUAACUACGUG